UCCGAUAUGGUGUAACGGCUAACAUCGCCGCCUUUCAGAAAAUGAAAGAAGAUCCGCGGCAGCUCGGGGUUCGAUUCCCCGUAUCGGAG
rnacentral:tRNA from 1 species